GGAGAAGAUGCAGAGCGGGCUCCAGGCAGAGGCUCAGGGACCGGAGGGGAUUGAUUUUUUGUUUUGACUUAUUGUUUGAAGAUCUGUAACUCAAAGCAGCUCUCACGCCUCUGAUGUCUAAGCUGGAGCAGCAUAAAAGCAUGACCAGCAUUUGUCAUCGUGACUCCCCCGCCCGCCACAUCAUUCAUAUGUCUAUAAUUGUCACCGAGAUGUGGCAUGUCAGCAGGACUCCAGUGUUCUCUGCUCCCUGUCUCCACACAGUCACUCAGGAUGGAAUAUAAUCUCUUGGAGGACCUGGAGGGUUUUACGCUGUUUACUGAAAAGAAAAUCAAACUGGCUCAGAGGUGAAGAGUGAGAGAGGCAGGCUGGGUGAGGAACGGGGCUCACAACCCUGUGCAGCCCAGGGUCUGGGAAUCCCUCCAGGUGAGGCAUU